CAAAUCAACCUAUCAUUGUGAAGCAGAAUUCACCAAGCGUUGGAUUGUUCACCCAUUAAUAGGGAAUGUGAGCUGGGUGUAGACCGUUGUGAGACAGGUU
rnacentral:ncRNA from 1 species